rnacentral:rRNA from 1 species
AAGCAGAAAACCCGCGAACUUGUCUAAUACUCUCUGGGGGAUGAUGUGCGGGUCGCGGCCCAGUUGCCUCGCCUUCCAUCCUUCCCCCAGCGGCGGGUAGAUGCGCACGGACCCUUCGGGCAACGUGUUCGUUUACUUGUCAAAACAACGAACCCCGGCGCAAGACGCGCCAAGGAAAAAUCGAACAAAGAGCGCGCGUCCCCCUACCCGUUUUCGGGCGGUGUCGGCGUAUGCAAUCUUUCGUAUAACUGAACGACUCUCGGCAACGGAUAUCUCGGCUCUUGCAUCGAUGAAGAACGUAGCGAAAUGCGAUACUUGGUGUGAAUUGCAGAAUCCCGUGAACCAUCGAGUCUUUGAACGCAAGUUGCGCCUGAAGCCAUUAGGUUGAAGGCACGUCUGCCUGGGCGUCACGCAUUGCGUCACCCGCUCCCCCGUGCCUCUGAGCGGGCACGUGCCGGUGCGUGGGUGGAUAUUGGCCCCCCGUUCACAUUCGUGCUCGGUCGGCCUAAAAAACGGGUCCCCCAACGACGGACAUCGCGACAAGUGGUGGUUGCCAAACCGUCGCGCCGUGUCGUGCGUGCCAUCGUUUGUUGUGGGUUGGCCCAU